rnacentral:rRNA from 1 species
AGUGAACGCUGGCGGUAGGCCUAACACAUGCAAGUCGAACGGCAGCACAGUAAGAGCUUGCUCUUACGGGUGGCGAGUGGCGGACGGGUGAGGAAUACAUCGGAAUCUACUUUUUCGUGGGGGAUAACGUAGGGAAACUUCCGCUAAUACCGCAUACGACCUACGGCUGAAAGCAGGGGAUCUUCGGACCUUGCGCGAUUGAAUGAGCCGAUGUCGGAUUAGCUAGUUGGCGGGGUAAAGGCCCACCAAGGCGACGAUCCGUAGCUGGCCUGAGAGGAUGAUCAGCCACACUGGAACUGAGACACGGUCCAGACUCCUACGGGAGGCAGCAGUGGGGAAUAUUGGACAAUGGGCGCAAGCCUGAUCCAGCCAUACCGCGUGGGUGAAGAAGGCCUUCGGGUUGUAAAGCCCUUUUGUUGGGAAAGAAAAGCAGCAGGUUAAUACCCCGCUGUUCUGACGGUACCCAAAGAAUAAGCACCGGCUAACUUCGUG